UAUGGCUGUUGGGCUGGCUGGAGGUGGAACUCUACAGGAGGAGGGGUAUGGCUGGUGGGCUGGCUGGAGGUGGAACUCUACAGGAGGAGGGGUAUAGCUGUUGGGCUGGCUGGAGGUGGAACUCUACAGGAGGAGGGGUACAGCUGGUGGGCUGGCUGGAGGUGGAACUCUAUAGCCAGGAGGAGGGGUACGGCUGUUGGGCUGGCUGGAGGUGGAACUCUACAGGAGGAGGGGUACGGCUGGUGGGCUGGCUGGAGGUGGAACUCUACAGGAGGAGGGGUACGGCUGGUGGGCUGGCUGGAGGUGGAACUCUAUAGCCAGGAGGAGGGGUACGGCUGGUGGGCUGGCUGGAGGUGGAACUCUAUAGCCAGGAGGAGGGGUACGGCUGGUGGGCUGGCUGGAGGUGGAACUCUAUAGCCAGGAGGAGGGGUACGGCUGGUGGGCUGGCUGGAGGUGGAACUCUACAGGAGGAGGGGUACGGCUGGUGGGCUGGCUGGAGGUGGAACUCUAUAGCCAGGAGGAGGGGUACGGCUGGUGGGCUGGCUGGAGGUGGAACUCUAUAGCCAGGAGGAGGGGUACGGCUGGUGGGCUGGCUGGAGGUGGAACUCUAUAGCCAGGAGGAGGGGUACGGCUGUUUAUUUAAAUAUCUCUCUGUCUCUGAAUAUCAUUCAGAGUAUUUAUUUAAACAUGUAUUUAUCACUUCUGCCCGCAGACCAGAUAGAUAAUGUGCUGCUCUCAGUUUCAAUGGGAGGUGUCAACAGAGAUUUCACUCACUCACACACCUGCACAUACUCACCACAUCCAACAAACUGGGCAAGGCCUUCGUUCUACAACCUCCUUUGAACACAGCACAGGACAGGAAGAGGAGUGUCAGGGUGUUGUUGUCAGUUAGUGUGACCGUGUUCCUGUCUGUGAGGGGUGAGGUGACUCUGCUACUGUUCACAACCGUUGGAGAGAUAU